rfam:Toxocara canis scaffold580, whole genome shotgun sequence.
GCGUUGUUAGCUCAGUCGGUAGAGCAUCAGUGUUUUAAUCUGAGUGUCGUGGUUUCGAGUCCCACAUAAGGCG